rnacentral:rRNA from 1 species
UUUGGACCAGGAUUAGAUACCCUGUUACUUCCGUUAAUAGGCUCUGGAACAGUAUUAAUAAAGAAAUUUAGCGGAUUUGGCGGCAAGAUAGCCCAUUUAGAGGAACCUGCCCUGUAAACGAUGAGCCACGAAAGGCCCUACUUUAUUUUGUAAUCAGUUUGUAUACCGCUGUUGUCAGUCAGUUUUAGUAGAAAACUUUCCAUAAUGAUAAAAAUCAUUGACUUCAAGUAAAGGUGCAGCUUAUAAUAAAGUUAGAGGUGGGUUACAAUUUAGAGAAAAAUACGAAUAAUAACAUUAAAAAUUAUUUGAAGGUGGAUUUAAUUGUAAAGUUCUAGCAAACUUGAUGAGAGCACUAACUUGUGUACACACCGCCCGUCGCUCUCUUUUUUAAA